AGUGCAGUUGCUGGAUCCUAUGGUAAGUGUAUGUUUAGUUUUGUAAGAAACUGCCAAAUUGUCUUUCAAAGUGGCUGUACCAUCUCCCAUUCUCAGCAGG
rnacentral:pre_miRNA from 1 species